rnacentral:rRNA from 1 species
GAUGAACGCUGGCGGCGUGCUUAACACAUGCAAGUCGAACGGAAAUGCUCUUCUUUUGCGGGGUGCUCGAGUGGCGAAUGCGUGAGUAACACGUGAGUAACCUUCCCUUGACUUUUGGAUUACUUCAGGAAACUUUGGCUAAUACCGGAUUGUAGCUCCUGCUGCAUUGUUGUUGUUGGCUAGUUUCGGUAGUUGUGGAUGGACUCGCGGGUUAUUAGCUUGUUGGUUGGGUAGUGGCUUACCAAGGCUUUGAUGGGUAGCCGGCCUGAGUGGGUGACCGGCGACAUUGAGAAGGAGAUACGGCGCAGAAGCAUACGGGAAGAAGCAGUAGGGAAUAUGGGACAGAGGGAGGAAGCCUGAGGGAAGAACGCCGCGUGCGGGAGGACGGACUUCGGGUUGUAAACCGAUAUAGCCUGUGACGAAGGGUGAGUGACGGUAAUGAGUAAAAAAGCAACGGCUAAAUACGGG